rnacentral:rRNA from 1 species
AUUGAACGCUGGCGGCAGGCCUAACACAUGCAAGUCGAGCGGAUGAAGGGAGCUUGCUCCUGGAUUCAGCGGCGGACGGGUGAGUAAUGCCUAGGAAUCUGCCUGGUAGUGGGGGAUAACGUCCGGAAACGGGCGCUAAUACCGCAUACGUCCUGAGGGAGAAAGUGGGGGAUCUUCGGACCUCACGCUAUCAGAUGAGCCUAGGUCGGAUUAGCUAGUUGGUGGGGCAAAGGCCUACCAAGGCGACGAUCCGUAACUGGUCUGAGAGGAUGAUCAGUCACACUGGAACUGAGACACGGUCCAGACUCCUACGGGAGGCAGCAGUGGGGAAUAUUGGACAAUGGGCGAAAGCCUGAUCCAGCCAUGCCGCGUGUGUGAAGAAGGUCUUCGGAUUGUAAAGCACUUUAAGUUGGGAGGAAGGGCAGUAAGUUAAUACCUUGCUGUUCUGACGUUACCAACAGAAUAAGCACCGGCUAACUUCGUG